CCGCAUGGUUCAAGGAUGAAAGACGGUUUCGGCUGUCACUUACAGAUGGACCCGCGGCGCAUUAGCUAGUUGGUGAGGUAACGGCUCACCAAGGCGACGAUGCGUAGCCGACCUGAGAGGGUGAUCGGCCACACUGGGACUGAGACACGGCCCAGACUCCUACGGGAGGCAGCAGUAGGGAAUCUUCCGCAAUGGACGAAAGUCUGACGGAGCAACGCCGCGUGAGUGAUGAAGGUUUUCGGAUCGUAAAGCUCUGUUGUUAGGGAAGAACAAGUGCAAGAGUAACUGCUUGCACCUUGACGGUACCUAACCAGAAAGCCACGGCUAACUACGUGCCAGCAGCCGCGGUAAUACGUAGGUGGCAAGCGUUGUCCGGAAUUAUUGGGCGUAAAGGGCUCGCAGGCGGUUUCUUAAGUCUGAUGUGAAAGCCCCCGGCUCAACCGGGGAGGGUCAUUGGAAACUGGGAAACUUGAGUGCAGAAGAGGAGAGUGGAAUUCCACGUGUAGCGGUGAAAUGCGUAGAGAUGUGGAGGAACACCAGUGGCGAAGGCGACUCUCUGGUCUGUAACUGACGCUGAGGA
rnacentral:rRNA from 1 species